AGCGGAGGAAAAGAAACUAACAAGGAUUCCCCUAGUAACUGCGAGUGAAGCGGGAAAAGCUCAAAUUUAAAAUCUGGCGGUCUCUGGCCGUCCGAGUUGUAAUCUAGAGAAGUGUUAUCCGCGCUGGACCGUGUACAAGUCUCCUGGAAUGGAGCGUCAUAGAGGGUGAGAAUCCCGUCUUUGACACGGACUGCCAGGGCUUUGUGAUGCGCUCUCAAAGAGUCGAGUUGUUUGGGAAUGCAGCUCAAAAUGGGUGGUAAAUUCCAUCUAAAGCUAAAUAUUGGCGAGAGACCGAUAGCGAACAAGUACCGUGAGGGAAAGAUGAAAAGAACUUUGGAAAGAGAGUUAAACAGUACGUGAAAUUGCUGAAAGGGAAACGCUUGAAGUCAGUCGCGUUGGCCGGGGAUCAACCUUGCUUUUGCUGGGCGUACUUUCCGGUUGACGGGUCAGCAUCAAUUUUGACCGUUGGAUAAAGUCCAGGGGAAUGUGGCAUCUUCGGAUGUGUUAUAGCCCUUGGUCGCAUACAACGGUUGGGAUUGAGGAACUCAGCACGCCGCAAGGCCGGGUACUUGUACCACGUUCGUGCUUAGGAUGCUGGCAUAAUGGCUUUAAUCGACCCGUCUUGAAACACGGACCAAGGAGUCUAACAUGCCUGCGAGUGUUUGGGUGGAAAACUCGGACGCGUAAUGAAAGUGAAAGUUGAGAUCCCUGUCGUGGGGAGCAUCGACGCCCGGACCAGACCUUUUGUGACGGAUCCGCGGUAGAGCAUGUAUGUUGGGACCCGAAAGAUGGUGAACUAUGCCUGAAUAGGGUGAAGCCAGAGGAAACUCUGGUGGAGGCUCGUAGCGAUUCUGACGUGCAAAUCGAUCGUCAAAUUUGGGUAUAGGGGCGAAAGACUAAU
rnacentral:rRNA from 2 species